GACGAACGCCGGCGGCGUGCUUAACACAUGCAAGUCGAACGGAAAGGCCCUGCUUUUGUGGGGUGCUCGAGUGGCGAACGGGUGAGUAACACGUGAGUAACCUGCCCUUGACCUUGGGAUAACUUCAGGAAACUGGGGCUAAUACCGGAUAGGAGCUCCUGCUGCAUGGUGGGGGUUGGAAAGUUUCGGCGGUUGGGGAUGGACUCGCGGCUUAUCAGCUUGUUGGUGGGGUAGUGGCUUACCAAGGCUUUGACGGGUAGCCGGCCUGGGAGGGUGACCGGCCACAUUGGGACUGAGAUACGGCCCAGACUCCUACGGGAGGCAGCAGUGGGGAAUAUUGCACAAUGGGCGGAAGCCUGAUGCAGCAACGCCGCGUGCGGGAUGACGGCCUUCGGGUUGUAAACCGCUUUCGCCUGUGACGAAGCGUGAGUGACGGUAAUGGGUAAAGAAGCACCGGCUAACUACGUG
rnacentral:rRNA from 1 species